CUUUCAAAGGGUGUAAAAUAGUUGUAUGUUUGAAAAAUUUGAAUUUUGACAUUUAUUUGGAUUCAAAUUUGCCGCUCUUGAAAUGCACCUGCUGUUGAUGGAGUGCACCACGGGGGGGACGCCUGCGUCCCACCUAGCCCAUAGAGGUUAAUGUUAAUUGAAUAAAUGUUAUUACACAUUUUACUCUGUGAAACAGCAUCACCAAGCCAGCACUCACUCAGCCGUGGUCCAGAGAAGAGUGGGAUGUUAACAAACCUCAGGGAUUUUGAGAGACCCAUAAGCAUAAACACACAAACACAUACAAGGGGUGCGUCAACUAGGUUUGGCCUCAGGCCCAAUUGUUUCUGAGCUAAUAGCCAGCGGGCCAGAACAUAAUUAGCAAAUAAUACUAGCACAAUUAAUAGGCCUACACUACAAAUUGAACAACAUUUUUAACACAUCUGAUUAGUACCACUGGUCAUCACAGUGAGCCAGUCUCCCAGCCUACCCAGCCAUCUGCCCAGGUCAGCGAUGCCCUACUGUCCCUUCCAGAGAAGUAUGACGGUACUUCAUCGAAAUGCUGUGGCUUCGUACUCCAGUGCUCCCUCUAUUUCGCCCAUCAGACGGGAGCCCCCACCACCGAGAGGUCCAAGGUUGCCACUGUCAUUUCCCUGCUAACUGGGCGGGCAUUGGAGUGGGCUACGGCUGUCUGGGAGAGAGGAGAGGAGGAGGUGGGUUCCUAUAAGAGGUUCAUGGCUCUGUUCAGAGCGGUCUUCAACCAUCCUCCAGAGGCCAGCGAGGGAGGUGGGCGACUUCUCCAACUCCAGCAGGGUGCCCAGACUGCUGCGAAGUACGCCCUCACCUUUUGUACUGUGGCAGCCUCCAGCGGAUGGAAUGAGCCUGCGAUCCGCACUCUCUUCCAGAGCGAAAUGGCGUGUCGGGACAGAGGUGGCAUGUCGUGAUGACAACCUAUCCACUCAUCGCGAUGGUCAUCCGUCUGGAUAUCCUUCUUCGGGAGCCACGGUGCCCACCUCGCCACUCGCCUCCCUCCUUUGGCUGUCCUGAGGCAGAGCCUGAACCCGUGGAGAUAGGAGCCACAUACCUCUCCCAGGCAGAGCGGCGUCGCCGGAGACUGCUGGGGCUCUAUCCCUAUUUCGGCCACUAGUGGCACCAGCUUAAGUGGUGUCCGGUGCGUCCCAACCCAGAGUCCACUAGGGCAGAGGGGCGGCCGCGUGAUCUUCCGUGUCCCAGGGCGGGCAUGAGUAUUCAUCAUCGUGUUCCGCCAAACCCUUUUUUUGGUUCCCAUUUCACUGGCUGGCUGUCCCUCAGGUGUUGUCUCUACAGCUCUAGUGGACGCCGGUGCCGCGGGAAUUUCAUCAACCAGGCCCUCGCCUCCUCCCUGAACAUAACUUCGUAACUCUCCUUUCCUUUUCCGGUGCAAGCCCUGGAUAAGCGACCAUUGGGAUCCGGUACAAUCACGCACAUUACAGCACCACUCACCCUCACUGUGGUACCUAUGCACCAGGAAAGCCUUCCCUUCCUCAUCAUCACUGCACCCGUGCACAAAGUCAUCCUCGGCCUCCCUUGGCUCCAACGUCAUAACCCUACCAUCUCCUGGUCGAGGAUUAAAACCACCUCCUGGUGUCCAUGAUGCCGGAAGACCUGCUUUCCCGUACCUUGUGGUUCCAUGCCGGUUGAGAGUCCUGUAAGUGCCCUCCAGCCCAUCCAUCAGUCCUCCUGUAUCGUUGGCCCUGUGUUUUGGGAUGUAGAUGUGGACAUCCACCAGGUUCUGGAGAGGGAAACCGCUCCUGCUACCUGCCCUCCAGAAUGCAUCGAUGUUCCAAGAGGGGUAAGAGAUCUGCUGAGAACCUGGACACACACAUCCCUCACCACUGGACACCCAGAUAUCACCCGCACUAUCCAAUCCCUCUCCAAUAAAUACUGGUGGCCCACCUUGGCGCAGGAGAUCACCCGCUAUGUCAACUCCUGCUCCAUAUGUGCCCAAACCAAAUCUCCCUGGCACGCUCCAGCAGGGAAACUACGUCCACUUCCCAUGCCUCAGUGGCCUUAGUCCCAUCUGUCUGUAGACUUCGUUACCGGUCUCCCACAGUCUGAUGGUUUCACCACUGUUAUGGUUGUUGUGGACAGAUUCUCCAAAUCCUGACGUUUUAUCCCUCUCUCUGGUCUCCCUACCUCUCUCCAGGUCGCUGAUGCACUGUUCCAGCAGGUCUUCCGGCACUAUGGCCUUCCGGAGGACAUCGUCUCUGACUGUGUCCUCAGUCCAACGUGGAGAUGGAGAGGACCAACCAGGAGCUGGGGAGGUUCCUGAGUCACAGCCAGGACCGACAGGGGAGUGGGCCCGGUUCCUUCCCUGGAUGGAGUACGCCCAGAACUCACUUCGUUACUCCUCCACCAGGCUGACUCCCUUCCAGUGCAUCUUGGGAUAUCAACCGACCCUGGCUCCAUGGAGUCUGAGCCAGACCGAGGCCCCUGCAGUGGACAAGUGGUUCCAUUUGCCAUCAGAAGGAUCAGGCAGGCUGCCACCGCAGUGAGGCUCCCGUGUUCCAUCCUGGUGAUCGCGUCUGGCUCUCCACCAGGAACCUCCCGCCCUGCCUGCCCUCUGCCGGAAGCUGAGCCCCCGGUUUAUGGGUCCCUUCAAAGUCUUCUGGAGGGUCAAUGAUGUAAUUUACUGUUUACAACUCCCGACCAACUACCCGAUCUCACCCUAUUUUCGUGUUUCCCUCCUCAGGCCGGUGUUUCCUGGUCCUCUGGCUGAUGCCAUCCCCCGCGACACCCCUCCGCCUCCCCUGGACAUCGAUGGGAUCCUUGGCUAUGCUGUCAGGUCUCUACUGGACUCCUGAUGUCAUGGGGAUCAGCUUCAGUACCUGGUGGACUGGGAGGGGUACAGCCCAGAUUUGGACUUGUCAUUUGGAAGGCUACUGCACUUCAGCCCAAUGAAGAAACGACAGGCAGAAGACCAGGCCACAGCAUUGUCACAGAGGUGAUGGAAGAUAUCAUCAAGCAGCUGAGGGACAACUUCUCCACCAGAUUUGAAGACUACAGUAUGCCCAAGGACAUCAUUGUCUUUGUACGUGAUCUCUCACAGUCUGCCCAGGUGGAGAAUUCUCCUCCCUUGCUAAGAAAACGAUACCCUCCCUGGAUAAGGCCGCAAUUCAAACUGAGCUGAUUGAAUUCCAGACAUUGAGCAAAAUCAGGGAUGCGCUCAGGAGUGCUGAGUCCUUGUGUGCGUUUUGGGUGGCAUGCUCAGAGGAAUACAGCACAAUAAAGAAACUUGCAUUUUAUGUGCUAACAAUGUUUGGAUCGACUUGUGAUACUUACGAUACUGCGAGUCCUCCUUUUCCUCUAUGAACGCAAUCAAAAUUAAUCCAUGCUUUUGUUACUUCUAGGCUGGACUACUGCAAUGCUCUACUUUCCGGCUACCCGGAUAAAGCACUAAAUAAACUUCAGUUAGUGCUAAAUACGGCUGCUAGAAUCCUGACUAGAACCAAAAAAUUUGAUCAUAUUACUCAAGUGCUAGCCUCCCUAAACUGGCUUCCUGUUAAGGCAAGGGCUGAUUUCAAGGUUUUACUGCUAACCUACAAAGCAUUACAUGGGCUUGCUCCUACCUAUCUUUCCGAUUUGGUCCUGCCGUACAUACCUACACGUACGCUACGGUCACAAGACGCAGGCCUCCUAAUUGUCCCUAGAAUUUCUAAGCAAACGGCUGGAGGUAGGGCUUUCUCCUAUAGAGCUCCAUUUUUAUGGAAUGGUCUGCCUACCCAUGUGAGAGAUGCAGACUCAGUCUCAACCUUUAAGUCUUUACUGAAGACUUAUCUCUUCAGUAGGUCCUAUGAUUAAGUAUAGUCUGGCCCAGGAGUGUGGAGGUGAACGGAAAGGCUGGAGCAACGAACCGCCCUUGCUGUCUCUGCCUUUCCGGUUCCCCUCUCUCCACUGGGAUUCUCUGCCUCUAACCCUAUUACAGGGGCUGAGUCACUGGCGUACUGGUGUUCUUCCAUGCCGUCCAUGGGAGGGGUGCGUCACUUGAGUGGGCUGAGUCACUGACGUGGUCUUCCUGUCUGGGUUGGCGCCCCCCUUGGGUUGUGCCGUGGCGGAGAUCUUUGUGGGCUAUACUCGGCCUUGUCUUAGGACGGUAAGUUGGUGGUUGGAGACAUCCCUCUAGUGGUGUGGGGGCUGUGCUUUGGCAAAGUGGGUGGGGUUAUAUCCUGCCUGUUUGGCCCUGUCCGGGGAUAUCAUCGGAUGGGUCCACAGUGUCUCCUGAUCCCUCCUGUCUCAGCCUCCAGUAUUUAUGCUGCAGUAGUUUAUGUGUCGGGGGGCUAGGGUCAGUCUGUUACAUCUGGAGUAUUUCUCUUGUCUUAUCCGGUGUCCUGUGUGAAUUUAAAUAUGCUCUCUCUAAUUCUCUCUUUCUUUCUCUCUUUCUUUCUUUCUCUCGGAGGACCUGAGCCCUAGGACCAUGCCUCAGGACUACCUGGCAUGAUGACUCCUUGCUGUCCCCAGUCCACCUGGCCGUGCUGCUGCUCCAGUUUCAACUCUUCUGCCUGCGGCUAUGGAACCCUGACCUGUUCACCACUCAUGACAGGAACUGGCUUUCACAUAACUCAAUUGAGGACUGUCUGCACAUCAAAAUCACAUCCUUCUCACCCGACAUCCACAAGAUCGUGAACAAAGGGAAGUGCAACUUUUCCCAUUAAGAGCAGGCUAUUCCGAGACUACCGAUACAGACAUUCAGACACAGACGUUACCUUUUUUUCUUUAAAUCAUUGUUCAUGUCGGUUGUUACAUUUUUGACCAGUUGCAAUUGUGAGUAGGCCUAAUAAAAGAAAUCCCACUUCUAUUAGACCAUAUUUUCUUUCUUGUGAAAGAUACUGCUAAGACACAUAGCCUAUCUCAGCCAGUUAAGUUAUUUUAUAUAGCCCUAGGCUCGUAAAAAAUAUACUCCAAUUAAGCCCUCUUUUUG
rnacentral:lncRNA from 1 species